CAAUCGUGAAACGUGGUGUUGCUUCCUGGGUGGGAAAGUGCUUUCAAACUUUAGAGUUCUGUUCCUUCACCCCCCCCCGCUCCCCUCCCCCCUUCCCCGGCUUUGAAGAACGGAGAAGAUGGAGACCGAGUACGGGGCGCAAACAUCAAACCAGACGCAAACAGAUUCAUUAUCUCCGUCCCCUAAUCCUGUGUCACCUGUGCCUUUGAAUAACCCAACAAGUGCCCCAAGAUAUGGAACAGUGAUCCCUAAUCGCAUCUUUGUAGGAGGAAUUGACUUUAAGACAAAUGAAAAUGAUUUAAGAAAAUUUUUUUCCCAGUAUGGGUCUGUAAAAGAAGUGAAGAUUGUAAAUGACAGAGCUGGAGUGUCCAAAGGGUAUGGUUUCGUCACUUUUGAAACACAAGAAGAUGCACAAAAAAUUUUACAAGAGGCUGAAAAACUUAAUUACAAGGAUAAAAAACUGAACAUUGGUCCAGCAAUAAGAAAACAACAAGUAGGGAUCCCUCGUUCUAGUAUAAUGCCAGCAGCUGGAACAAUGUACCUAACAACUUCAACUGGCUAUCCUUACACUUAUCAUAAUGGUGUUGCUUAUUUUCAUACUCCAGAAGUAACUUCUGUCCCACCACCUUGGCCUUCACGUUCUAUAUCUAGUUCCCCUGUGAUGGUAGCUCAGCCUGUUUAUCAGCAACCUGCAUAUCACUACCAGGCCCCUGCACAGUGUCUACCAGGACAGUGGCAGUGGGGUAUUCCUCAGUCUCCGGCCUCUUCUACUCCAUUCUUAUACCUGCAACCUUCUGAGGUUAUUUAUCAACCAGUUGAAAUUGCACAAGAUGGUGGAUGUGUUCCUCCUCCACUGUCUCUGAUGGAAGCUUCAGUUCCAGAGCCUUAUUCUGAUCAUGGAGUUCAAGCAACAUAUCACCAGGUUUACACUCCAAGUGCCAUUGCUAUGCCUGCACCUGUGAUGCAGCCUGAACCAAUUAAAACAGUGUGGAGCAUUCAUUAUUAAGACAAUUGGGCAGCUCUAGUCCACCUCAACUGAUUUCUUAUCCAAUGAUCCUUGUGUGACCGAGAUCCAGCUUCAACGAACCAGCUAGAAGCUGCCCGUUGUGAACUUAGGAAAUUGUGCUUGGAAAAUAUUAAAAUACACAAUCAAAGAACUAGAAAUGACUGUAGGAAAACAUCUAAUCCAGCUCUUCUAUCUUAUUUUGAAAUGUUCUCUACUGUUAUUAUAAUAAAUUUAUGACCCUUAGACCUAUACUUUAACUAAAAUUUUUUCUAAAAUCUUUAUAGACUUAAAAAAGAACAAAUGGCAAAAUUAUAUGCAAAGGAUGUAUAUAAAUAAUAUUCAAAAUUGGUGCUGUUAUUUCAAUUCUAGUCAGUAUUUUCAUCACUGCACAUAAAUCCCUAAAAGUAGAGUAUCAGCCUCUAUCCUUCCCUAUUGAGUAUAAUUCCCUGAAUAUCUGCUAUGUUUCUGUCAGCUUCUAUCCUUCCCUAUUGAGUAUAUUCUGAUUAGCUGCUAUGUUUCUAUCUCUUUGCUUUUAUGAAUUGCAUAAGUACAAUAAUAUUUUCUGAAUACAUUGUUAUUUUUUAAUGUUUCCUUUCCAUAAGAAUUUAUCCCUCAGUUGUCCACUUAUUAGUUUCAUGAUUAUCUUGGAUAUUACUCACUUUGACAUGUCAGGACCCACAAAUAUGAAAUAGCAUUCAUAAAUUUCUAACUAGUGAACUAAAAGAUGAAGGAUUUCUAGUUUAUCAUGCUUUGGGGACAUACUGCUUAAAAUAGAUCAACUGAUAUAAUUCUAAGCCUGAAAAUAUACAGUAAUGGUCCAGUUGACUUAUUUUUAAAACUUGUAAUUUAUAAGUUUUUUAUCAGUAGGUCUGUCAGUUUUCCUCAUUUGAUAAUGUAUUUCUCAGUUAAAUGAUGCUAGUACUCAACUAUUUGGCAGUAUUUUGAUGAUUACUUCUUAGUGUAGUGUAUAUGUUAACCUCAGUUUUUCUUUCAAUCAAAGUGUGUACCCACAGAGUAACUGUCAUUUAGUCUGUCUCUAAAGAUUAUGAGUCAUAAGCAUCCCCUAGGUGUGCUUCCCUUUGAAAAACAGGAGUAUGAGAAGUAAAGUAUAGAGACUAAAGCUCUUCCCUUCUUCCCCUGCUAAGAUUCUUCCUCCAUUUCAGCUCCUUUACUUAUUGGUUGGUUGUCAUCAGAAAAAACUUGGGAGACCCUAGAUCCUUACACUACUUUGGGCUAUACCUAAGAUUCUCUGUGCUCUUAGGCUUGAGGAGAGAAUGUCUAAUAAGAAAGUCCUUUAAUUAGACUCUUACUUUUCUUCUCCAUUUCUUCCUUCAUAGGAUAGUAAAGAUAAAAAAUAUCUACUGGGGAAAUUAAUUCUUUUAGGGGAUGAUACUCUAUUUUUUUGUUUUAUAAGGAGAAUCAAUUUUCUUUCCUAAACAUAAAGCCUUCAAAGUAAUUGUCUCAAACUUCUUAGCAUUUAUUUUUUUCUCCCAUUACUACCUCUGAUGAGUGUUGUGACAUUCUGUCUAGAUCCCUGUCAUUGAUAGGUUUCAGUGCUUUAAAAAGCAGUUUUCCCUUUGGAAAAUUCUAAGCUGGGAAUCAAAUUAAAUUCUUCCUGGUAAUGAAUCCCCUAAGCCUGCUAAUUAUCCUCUUUCAUUCUGGAAUGAAUUCUCUGCCUGUUCACCUGAAUAUCUUCCUUACAGCUUGUUCUCCAAAAACCAUGUUCUUGUUUAAAUCAAUUUUAAAAACUGAGUGUGCUGACAUUUCCCCCUUCUGACUGCUGAUAUUCUUUGUUUUUAAAUAUUUGUUUGUGUGUUUGAAAGGCAGAGUGACAAAGAGGGCAAGGGUGGGUGGAAUGAGAGCUACACAUACUUCCAUCCACUGGUUCUCUCCUCAAAUGGCUGUUAACAGCCAGGUCUGGACCAGGCAGAAGCCAGGAACCAGGAACUCCAUCCAGGUUUUCCACAUGAGUGGCAGAGACCCAAGUACUUGGGUGACCCUCCUCUGCUUUCUCAGGUGCAUUAGCAGAAAACUGGAUCAGAAGUAGAGCAGCUGAGACUCAAACUGGCACUCUGAUACAGGAAGCCUGACUGUUGGUAUCCUGAGAGACCUCUAUUUUCUAUUUUGGGUAGAAUUUGUCCAGAUUUUUGGAAAUCCUGAGUCUUAUGUAAUAUUACUAAUGGAAUUCUAGAUUUAGAAAGGAAGAGAAGGAAAGAAAAAAGGAUCUUUCCUCAUCUCAGUUCCCUGUGCAUAAUAUUUUUUGUUUUUUAUUUACAGGCAGAGUAGACAGUGAGAGAGAGAGAGAGAGAGAGAGAGAGAGAGAGAAAGGUCUUCCUUUGCCGUUGGUUCACCCUCCAAUGGCCGCCGCGGCUGGUGCGCUGCAGCCAGCGCACUGCGCUGAUCCGAAUGCAGGAGCCAGGUGCUUCUCCUGGUCUCCCAUGGGGUGCUGGGCCCAAGUACUUGGGCCAUCCUCCACUGCACUCCCUGGCCACAGCAGAGAGCUGGCCUGGAAGGGGGGCAACCGGGACAGAAUCUGGUGCCCCGACCAGGACUAGAACCUGGUGUGCUGGUGCCGCAAGGUGGAGGAUUAGCCUAUUGAGCUGUGGCGCCGGCUCCCUGUGUAUAAUAUUAAAGAGAAUUCUCAUUAUCCCAAAAGACUUAAUCCAGCUUGGUUGAGUUUUCUACAGUAGACGGUAACAUGGAAAAGUUCAAGCAAUAUGAGGAAAGCUGUGUUUUUUCUUAUGGAAUCCAGCUUAAAUACUAGCUAAUUCAUAUUUAGGAAGUCGUUCUUGGUUUUCACAGCUUCUUUCUUUCUUCCAUUUAUGAACCCAUUGAUACUAGUAAAACUCCCAGGUUUUUCACAGUGGUUCCUGAUAACAACUAAGUGAGCAUUUUAGAAGUACAACGAAAAAGAGAACUGGGAUAACUUUUGAUUGAACAUGGAAUGCUGUAACCUUCUAAUCCUUGAAUAAUUUCUAUUAUAUAUUAUAAAUUAGGAUAAAAUUGAAAAGGUGGGCCAUCAGGCAGAGUUAAUUUUUUUUACUAAAUCCUAAAAUCAGAUAAAAGGAUAUGUUAAUACAUCUUUUUGUAUAUAUUAUUUUUGGAAAAGACUAUCCUGUUUCCUCAAAAGAUUUCAGAGGUCCAUACUAGAUAAUAAUGAAAUAUAUUUUAGCAGAUUUCUACUUGUGAAGGCUGGGUGUAUCAUAAUCUGUAAGUUAUCUAAGUAAAGUAUUUUCUUAAUCAGAUGGGACUUGUAUUACUUUGAAGUAAUUUGAAAUAAAUGAAACAUUUGAAAUAAAGCAGGUUAAGCCACCACUCACAACACUAGCAUCCCAUAUCAAAGUGAAGGUUCAAGUCCUGGCUACUCCAGUUGUGAUUAGCUUCCUGCUAAUCUGCCUAGGAAGGCAGAGGAAGAUGGCCCAAGUGCUGCACCAGUUGUGAUUAGCUUCCUGCUAAUCUGCCUAGGAAGGCAGAGGGAGAUGGCCCAAGUGCUUGGAUGCCUACUAUCCAUGUGGGAAUCCCAGAUAGAAUUCCUGGCUCCUAGCUUCAGCCCAGUCUAGACCCGGCUUUUGUGGCCAUUUGGGAGUGAGCCAGCAGAUGAAAGAUUCUCUCUCUCUCUUCCUCUCUCCCUCUCUCCCUCUUCCUGUUGUUCUGCCUUUCAAAUAAAUAAAUCUUUUUAAAGAUUGUUUCUAAGUUCAUCCUUCAAUAAUUAAUAUUAUUUGAAUUCCAGAUGCUCUUUGGCAUACAAUCAUUGUAUCAUACUUGCUCUUUUCUUCUAAAUCCAGUUGAAUAUAAUCUGGAUCAUCCAAAACUUGAAACUUUGUGAGGAUGAUCAGAGCUUUCUUUUACCAUACACACAAAAAUACAUAUAUACAUACAUGAAUUUGUACAUUUGGGAAAACAUCCAAAAUCCAUUCUCAAGAUCAUUUCUUCAUAUAAAUAACCUACUUGGUCUACUUUCUUUAUGAAACAUCCUUCAGAACAAUUGCUCAUACACUCUAAGUGAAGGUAACUGGCAAUAACAGGUUUUACUGACAUAAUUUAAUCUUAGGUCAUGCAGUUUCAAAAGAAUUUUGUUUCUGUUUUUAUACUUCAUUUCAUUACAGUAGAUAAACUUGUAAUUACUGCCUUGUCUGAAUAGGGUCAUGUGUAACAGAAAGACUUUACCUUUUCUAUGAAAUAAUCACAUUCUUAGAGACUUACCAAAUUCCAAUGAUUAUGAACUUAACCUUCUCUGAAAUACCAUUAUAUUAAUUCAGAAUUGAGUCCUUGUUGUCCAGGAUAUAUGACAGUACUUCAGAAAGUUCAUAGAAAAAUCAUUAUAAAAAAUUAUGCAUGAUUUUUUCUGCACCAAAAUAAACUUUUAAUUCCAUUUUCCAUAAACUUUCAAGUAGUUGCUUUUGAAAUUCACGUCUGCCUUCAUCAAUGAACAGCAGACUUGAUUUGAUUAUGUUUAGAGAUUAAGGCUAUAUACCUAUAAACAAGGUCCUCUGAUGUUUUAUCAGUCAUAUCAAGUUUUGCUUUCACUUCUGCUCCUUAUAGUAAUGAGACAUCUCUUAACUUUGCUGAUCUCUGCUCCAAAUUCUUAUGAUAUGGGGCAGUCAUAUAUUUAUCAUCUAAAUCUGGACACUCAAGAGUAAAUGAAGACAGCAAAAAUAAUUAAAAUUAUAUAACUUUUAAAUAUGUGUAUAUUAAUCAACAAAGAAUUUUGCCAUAUUAGUAUACCCAUACAAUAAUUCUCAAAAAAUAAAAUUCUAAUAAUACAAUAUUCAUAAAUCUAUACUGUCCCAGGAAACUAGAAUGCAGGUAACACUAUUAAUAUAAUCACAAAAUAUAAUUGGCCCCUCAUAUCUAUGAAUUCUACUUUCACAGAUUCAACCAACCCUGGAUUGAAAGUAUUCAGAAAAACAUAACUGCAUAUGUAUUGCACAUGUACAAGCUUUCUUCUUGUCAUUAAUCCCUAAACAAUAUAGUAUAACUAUUACAUAGCAUUUUCAUUGUAUAAGGUAUUAUAUGUUUUCUACAGAACAUAUAUAAGUUAUAUGCAAAUACUACACCAUUUUGUAUAAUCUGUGAACUUCCAUGGAUUACAGUAACUAUGGGAAGGUCCUAGAACCAGUCCCCUGUAGAAACAACUGUAAACUAUCAAAAACUAUUAGUCAGAAAUGGGAUUAAGCCACAAUGACAAAGCCUCAAUUUCUCUGUUAGUUUUACUUUUGAAGCUAUAUGGUUUCUGGUUUAACCAUUGAUCUAUAUAUAUGAGUUCUGUUUAGAUAUAGUUAUAAGCUUGUUUCCCAUUGUUAUAAACAUUAAAUCAUAUUUAUAGAACCAUAAUUAAGAACUCAAAAGAAUCUCAGAGAUCCUAUUAUCUCUUACUUUAUUCAUGAAGAAAUUGUCUAUAACUGUGGAACAGUCUUAAAAUGUUAGUCUUAAAAUCCUGUUAGCAACCUCUGUUAACUAAAUUUGCUAUAUUAAUUACUACAUCAUUCUGCAGAAAAGCUUUAAGUCAAUAAAUAUUGUUUAAACUCCAUGAUAAUAUUCUUUAUAAAAACUGUAUUGUUGAUGUACUAUAAAGUCAUGCUUAAAACAUUCUUGCUUACUGUCUUAUUUCAAGGCAAAGACACCCUUAUAUUUACAAGUAUUUCACAUGUAUUAUC